rnacentral:rRNA from 1 species
GGCGGCGUGGAUAGGCAUGCAGUCGAACGAGAAGGUCCCUUCGGGGGCUGAGUAGAGUGGCGAACGGGACAGUAACACGUGGGAAACCUGCCCUGCAGUGGGGGAUAACACUUCCAACGAGGUGCUAAUACCGCAUACGACCGCCGGUCGCAUGGCCGGCUGGUGAAAGGUGGCCUCUGCUUGCAAGCUGCCGCUGCUGGAUGGUCCCGCGCCCGAUUAGCUUGUUGGCGGGGUAACGGCCCACCAAGGCUACGAUCGGUAGGCGACCUGAGAGGGUGACCGCCGUCACUGGGACUGAGAUACGGCCCAGACUCCUACGGGAGGCAGCAGUCGAGAAGCUUCGGCAAUGGGCGAAAGCCUGACCGAGCGACGCCGCGUGAGCGAUGAAGGCCCUAGUGGUCGUAAAGCUCUGUCAGAUUGGGAACAAAUCCCGGGGGCGAACAACCCCCGGUGCUGAGGGUACCGUCAGAGGAAGCACCGGCUAACUCCGUGCCAGCAGCCGCGGUAAUACGGAGGGUGCGAGCGUUGCUCGGAUUCACUGGGUAUAAAGAGUUCGUAGGCGGCCCCGUAAGUCAGAGGUGAAAGCUGUCGGCUCAACCGACAAAUUGCCUUUGAAACUGCAGGGCUUGAGUCCGGGAGAGGAAGGUGGAAUUCCUGGUGUAGCGGUGAAAUGCGUAAAUAUCAGGAGGAACACCGGUGGCGAAGGCGGCCUUCUGGCCCGGCACUGACGCUGAGGAACGAAAGCCAGGGGAGCGAACAGGAUUAGAUACCCCGGUAGUCCUGGCCGUAAACUAUGGGCACUAGGUGUUGGAGGAGUCUACCCCUUCAGUGCCGCAGCUAAUGCAUUAAGUGCCCCACCUGGGGAGUACGGCCGCAAGGCUGAAACUCAAAGGAAUUGACGGGGGCCCGCACAAGCGGUGGAGCAUGUGGUUUAAUUCGAUGCAACGCGAAGAACCUUACCGGGACUUGACAUGCAAGGGACAGGUGUGGAAACACACCCUCCCGAAAGGGUCCUUGUACAGGUGCUGCAUGGCUGUCGUCAGCUCGUGUCGUGAAAUGUUGGGUUAAGUCCCGCAACGAGCGCAACCCCUGCCCUUAGUUGCCAUCAGGUCAUGCUGGGAACUCUAGGGGGACUGCCGGUGACAAACCGGAGGAAGGUGGGGACGACGUCAAGUCAUCAUGGCCCUUACGUCCCGGGCUACACACGUGCUACAAUGGCCGGUAUAAAGGGCUGCGAUACCGCGAGGUGGAGCAAAUCCCAAAAAGCCGGUCUCAGUUCGGAUUGAAGUCUGCAACUCGACUUCAUGAAGCCGGAAUCGCUAGAAUCGCGCAUCAGCACGGCGCGAGGCGGCCCCGUAAGUCAGAAGUGAAAGCUGUCGGCUCAACCGACAAAUUGCCUUUGAAACUG